rnacentral:rRNA from 1 species
UACAGAGGGUGCGAGCGUUAAUCGGAAUUACUGGGCGUAAAGCGCGCGUAGACGGUUUUGUAAGUCAGAUGUGAAAUCCCUGGGCUCAACCUGGGAACUGCAUUUGAGACUGCAUGGCUAGAGUAUCGAAGAGGGAAGUGGAAUUUCCGGUGUAGCGGUGAAAUGCGUAGAUAUCGAGGAACACCAGUGGCGAAGCGACUUCCUGUC